rnacentral:rRNA from 1 species
UGGGGAAUCUUGCGCAAUGCGCGAAAGCGUGACGCAGCAACGCCGCGUGGGGGAAGACGGCCUUCGGGUUGUAAACCCCUUUCAGGAGGGACGAAGGUUCACCGGUGAAUAGCCGUGUGGAUUGACGGUACCUCCAGAAGAAGCUCCGGCUAACUACGUGCCAGCAGCCGCGGUAAUACGUAGGGAGCAAGCGUUGUCCGGAAUCAUUGGGCGUAAAGCGCGCGUAGGCGGCCCUGUAAGUCCGUUGUGAAAGUCAAAGGCUCAACCUUUGAAAGCCGAUGGAUACUGCGGGGCUAGAGUCCGGAAGAGGCGAGUGGAAUUCCUGGUGUAGCGGUGGAAUGCGCAGAUAUCAGGAGGAACACCAAUAGCGAAGGCAGCUCGCUGGGACGGUACUGACGCUAAGGCGCGAAAGCGUGGGGAGCGAACAGGAUUAGAUACCCUGGUAGUCCACGCCGUAAACGAUGGGCACUAGGUGUGGGAGGUGUCGACUCCUCCCGUGCCGUCGCUAACG